GAGAGUUUGCAGCUCAAGGAGGGGAAUAAGGAACAAAGGGAUCAUAUAAACUAUGCAGGUCUAAGCUGCCCCUGCGAGCCCGGAAUCCGGGCUGAGCCGCUGCUGCGCCCCAGCGGGGUCUGUGCCCGGGACAAACCUGCACUAGCGCCCCUCUGUCCCCAGCCGGGGGGACUUUCUGCGGUGGCUGGAACCAGCUCCUGGCUCCAACCCCUGAGCUGGAGACUGCAGGAUGCAGACUGGAAGCUCAGGUGAGAAGAGAGGCUGCAGGGGGCCAAGAACAGUUCCCAGAGGUGUUGCGAGGAAGGAAGAGGGGAAAAACGAGACAGAGGUGGAGGCGGUGAGGUGUGAAAGUAGAAAUUCCCAUCUGAUAUUCUCCAAGAUGCUUUCAAGGUGAUGUUCAGAGAGGAUAAUAUGAGUUUGCACCCAUUUUCAGAAGUGGCCACUGACUUUAAAUGCCUCAGUUUUGGGGUGUCUGACUUGUGACACCACAGGCCUGAUUCUCAGGGGGUGUUGAAUUGCCACUGAUUUCAUUAGGAGUUGUAGCAGCUCAGUAUUUCUGAAAUGAGGCUAGGUACCCAUAAAUUAAGGAAAGCAGAGUCAGUAGCCUCUUGGAAAACUUGGCUCACUGUUCUCCCCAAGUGCACAGAAUUCAAUAUUUCAACACAAUCCCCUUGGCCACCUCCCUAACAAACUUAACUGACCCCCAAGUGAAUACAAGUCUUUUCUCAGAAAAUAAACCGGACUCAAAACGCUUUAUGAAAAAGCAAAUAAAUCAUUUACACAUGAACAGCACCUCUGGAUCAGCCUGAAAAGCAAAUCCAGGUACAUUAAAAAAUAAAACAACUAUAUUAUAAUGAGGUUUACUUUGUUAACCUAUAUGCAACUCCCAGGCAAAUGUGAAACAGAGAAAAGCAAACACUUCCCAUGUAGAAAUCUAAAUCCUUAGGCAUGACCCUCAAAGUUCAUAUUCCCAUUACUACAAAUAUGAGUCUUGAUCUUGCAGACACUUCACUUCAAGCAACUGAGUAAUCCUAUUGAUUUCAGCUGGAAUAACGUGCAGAAAGUUGAACAGGUGCAUGUUUGCAAGAAUAAAAUUAUAGCUCUGCGG